GUUAUCAAAUAGUUUGUUUCCAUGUAUGUUGGAGUUUGUUUGUGUUGCACUUCUGAGUACCUGUUGAUCCUCUGCUUUCAUUUUAUAGUUGAUGUGUUUCCCUCUGUUUUAAUUUGAAAUCUGGAUUUGUUUUUUCUUUAAAAUCGUUUUUUUUUUUUUGAAUAAUGGUAUACCCCUGUUGGCUUAAUUACAAAAUAUAACCCAUCGCAAUACAAUGUCUGGCAUAAAAUCAAUUUUGAAAUUGAAUGAGUGGUCUGUUAUCGAGCUACCCCAGACCAAUCCCAUGUAACCGAUUAUUAAACAAGUGAGUUUAGAGAGAUAAAUAGGAAAUGGUGCUUCGAAAAAAAAAAUUAUUUGUUUUCUUUGUUGUUUAUUUUGAAAUUAAAGAAAAGGAACAAGCUAUAUGGCAAAAUUCACAAUCUUUGUCUUGUUAUCUACAUUUAAAAUGGUAUGGUAUUAUUUUGU
rnacentral:lncRNA from 1 species